GUGGAUUAGAUACCCUGGUAGUCCACGCCCUAAACGAUGCACACUAGUUGUUGCGAUGCUAGUCAUUGCAGUAAUGCACUUAACAGAUUAAGUGUGCCGCCUGGGGAGUACGGUCGCAAGAUUAAAACUCAAAGGAAUAGACGGGGACCCGCACAAGCGGUGGAGCAUGUGGUUUAAUUCGAAGAUACACGAAGAACCUUACCUAGCCUUGAUAUCCUAAGAAUCCUGCAGAGAUGCGGGAGUGCUAGUUUACUAGAACUUAGAGACAGGUGCUGCACGGCCGUCGACAACU
rnacentral:rRNA from 1 species